rnacentral:piRNA from 1 species
UACUACAGCAGAGUAAGUGGAUCCAUGGAC